UACGGGGGAGGCAAGCGUUAUCCGGAAUUAUUGGGCGUAAAGCGUCCGCAGGUGGUCAGCCAAGUCUGCUGUCAAAUCAGGUUGCUUAACGACCUAAAGGCGGUGGAAACUGGCAGACUAGAGAUCAGUAGGGGUAGCAGGAAUUCCCAGUGUAGCGGUGAAAUGCGUAGAGAUUGGGAAGAACAUCGGUGGCGAAAGCGUGCUACUGGGCUGUAUCUGACACUCAGGGACGAAAGCUAGGGGAGCGAAAGGG
rnacentral:rRNA from 1 species